CAUCAGUUGCUAUAUAAUAGCUUUUCACAAUUUAUUUCACAUUUCAUUAUACAAUUGCAUUAUCCAUUCCACAUAUUUGCAACAUAUUUCACAUUCUAUUUUCAAUUCACUCUUUCACUUCCAUUUCUUACAUCAUUUCAUUUCAAUAUCAAUUGUAAGACUUUAUUAUUCAUUUACCCCUAUUAACAUGACUCAAACUCGAACGAAUACACGGAUCCAACCAAAACACAAUAGUUUGGCACCUAGUGCCUCAUCAAAUAAUUUGAAGUAAUAUGUUGACGCCCAGUGUCUCGUCGGGUAAACCGAAGUAAAUUGGCACCCAGUGCCUCAUCGAAUUAAUCCGAAGUAAUAAAUUGACACCCAUCGUCUCAUCGACUUGAAGUCAAAGAAAUCCCUGAACUCUUCCAAUCCUAUGGCAUGUCAUCUAUAUACAACUCAGCUCGAUACAAUUAUUAGGGUUUAAUUUCACAUUUCAGAUACAAUUAAUAUCCAAUACUGAUUUUCAAUAUAAUCACAUAAUUGCACAUAUAAUCAUUUCAAUUCAAAAAUCAAUCCAUUCAAUAUAUACAUAUAUAUAUCUACCAAUUCAAUUCAUUCAUUCAAUUAUCAAAAUAUCAAUUACUUACCUCAACACUUACCAUGUACAUUAAAUAAAAAUUACAACAAUUAAUAAUUAGUUUCAGAUUAUAGAAAUACAAACCAGAACUUCCGAGCUAUUCCUCUUCGACUUUAUCUUUUCUCUUUUUAGUCGAAGUUUCCGGCACAACGUUACCAAUUGAGCUUUGAACCCUUGAAACCCUAAUUCUCUUUCUUUCUCUUUUUCUUUCUUGAAACCCUAAUUCUCCUUCUUUCUCUUUUUCUUUCUUUCUUCUCUAUUUCAAUCUAUCUUUCUGUUCUUUUUCUAUUUCAUUUCUUUUAUUUAUUUCGUUAUUAUAUUAUAAUAUAAUAUAAUAUAUAUUUACUUAACUUUUAUAUUUUAUUAUAAUAUUAUAAUAUACAUUUUUUAACUUUAAAUUUUUAAUUAAAUACAUACUUAUGCCGUCUCAAUUUAUGCAAUUGGCAUAAUUGCUUAUUUAGUCCCUUUAAUUUUUUUAAUCUAUAAUUCAACUUUCACCGUUUAUGAAAUUUAGUCCUUAUACCUAAUUACUCUUAAUUCAUGCAAAUUCACCUAAUAAAAACCUAAUUAACCACACAACUAGCUUCAUAAAUAUUUUUAAUAAAUAUUUAUGAGUCCGGUUUAUGGUAACGGAGUCUCAAAGAUGUAUUUUUCGACACCCGCGACUAUCGAGUCGUUACAACUUCCCUUUCCUCAAAUUUCAUUACAACUAUGAAUUUACCCUUUCAUUACCUUUAUUCACCAAUUUCAUAUGCAUAACACACAAGUUAUAAGCAUAACAUCAACCAUGACUACAAGCUAGUACAUUUAAACAUAACUCCUUUGGAAUCAACCACAUAAUCAACCAUUGCAUAAGAAAUUACAUACUUGGAUUUAUUCCACCUUUCAUGGACAUAAGCACAUUAUCAAUUAAGCACUUACCGUUUCAAUGUAUUUCAUUAAGAUUAAACAUGAUAUAAUUCAAUCACCAACUUGGCACAAGCCUAAGCACCAACAACAACACAUGUUAGCAUAAUUGAAUAUAAUUCAUGUGAACUUAACAUAAAUAAUCAUUAUACUUGAGUAUGAUCCAAUUGGAUUUAUCAUCCUUCAUAACAUAUCAUGUUUUCCAUGUAUCACCAUUUUAAUAAAUUUCAUAUACACAUGCCUUGGUUCAUAUUAAACACUUACCAUAGCCACAAGCUAAUGAGUAAACACAUAACUUAGCCAUAUCAUCACAUGGUAAGAUAUAGUACAUAAAUAUAGCAUCUCUUAAAUCAUACCUUUCAUAUUCAUGAAUACUCAUACUUUAAUCAUUGGCACAUCAUACCUUUCCAUAUUUGUCGUAGUGAAGUCAAUUGAAACCCUUAUCAGAGCUCACACAAAGUGUGCUAAACGAUGGUCGAAACCAUCCCUUUUCUAUAAUCGAUAAAUACUUUGAAGAUGAUUGAAACCCUGGUACACAUUUCCUUUAUGCUAUAGUCUAACUAUGGUCUUACAUAUGCAUUUCCAUGGCCCUGCCAUGGUUUUACAUUUGUAGUGCCAUAACCCAGUUAUGGUCUUAUCAUCAGAAUGUCAUAGCCUAGCUAUGGUCUUACAUAUAAACACUGUCGUGGUCCAACCAUGGUCUUACGUCCAUAGUGCCAUAACUUAGUUAUGGUCUUAUCAUCAGAAUGCCAUAGCCUAGCUAUGGUCUUACAUAUAACCAUUGGACCAUGGUCUUAUGUUUGAACAAUUGCCAUAGUCUUAUUAUGGUCUUACGUGCGAAUGCAACCUGUCUCCUUUGAUAUAAGAAAUUAUCAUUUUCGUAACUUUUUACAAUUCUUGUUCUAUCAAAAAAUAAAUUUAAUAUAAGUAAUUUUACAUCAUUUAAACUUUAAUAUUCAUAAACACUUAGAGAUAUAAUUGAGUUCAUAUUAAUGAACUUACAGAGCUAAUUUGCAGUAAUGGCUCCAAGUUUCUCAAUCAAUGAUCGACGUAAUAUCAAUUCACUAUUUUCGUUUUCAAUUACACACUUCAAUGUAAUCUAAUAUUAUUCAAUUAGGUUAAUAUAUUUCACUUAAAUAUAAAUUAAAAUUAAACCGAAUGAACUUACCUAGCUAAAUUGUAGAAAUGACAAAGUACAUGGGCAUUUUGGUAGUUUUCUAUUCUCCUUGAUUUUCCACUCGAUCUUGAUCUAAAUUAAUAAUUUCAUUCAAUCUAUUAAUUUAGAUAGUAAAAAAAUUUCUUUUAUGCAAUUUAUUCACUUUUGACAUUUUUACAAAAUUACCCCUAAAGUUUUACUUUUAUUCAAUUUAGUCCCUGAGCCAUUAACCAUUUUUUCCCAAAUUGAGCACAUCGUAAUACUUAUUCUAUCCUAUACAGCCCAUUCAUGCAAUAAUUUUACAGAAAAUUCUUGUAUUUUUACUAUUUUAACAAUUUAGUCCCUAAUCGAUAAAUUCAUCAAAAAUUACUUAAUAAAAUACUUUUAAAUAAAAAAUAAUAUUUCAAAUUCAUCAUUGAACAUAUAAAAUCACAAGGUUCAACAAUGGAAACAUUCAAAAUCUUUAACAUUUUCAAAAUCGAAGGUACAAGUUAGCUGGACCUAGUUGCAACGAUCUCAAAAACAUAAAAAUUAUUAAAAAAUAGAGCCAAAAUCACAUACCAUGCAAUAGGAAACCACCACGGACUAACCUAACUUAAAACCUCCAUGGAAAUUUGAUUCUUUGAAGAAGAAACUAAAAAGAUGAUAACCAAUUAACCUUUUGUUUUUAUUUUAUUUUAAUUUAAUAAACCAAAUUACCAUUUUAACCUUGGUUAAUAAAUAAUUAAAACACCAAUUUCAUUCCUAUAAUUGUCUACUAACUCCUUAAAUGGUAUAAUUACCAUUUAAGUCCCUUUUCCUUUAUUCAAUAAGUCAUUUAAUCACUCAAAUCAAAUAGUGAUCAAAUUUUACAUCUUUUAUGUUUUAGUCAUUUUUAAUUAAUUAACUAUGGAAACGUUAAAUUUUUUCAAUGAAACUUAAAUACCAUCUUAAUGACACUCCGUAAAUAUUUAUAAAAAUAUUUACGACUCGGUUUAUAGAAACGAGGUCCUUGUACCUCAUUUUCUAAACCUAUUUGACCUUAGGGUCUUACCACUUGAACUUAUUAAAUCAUUUAUAUAACAAAAAUCACUAUAUCAAAAACCUUUUUUAAAAUCAUGUUUGACUCGUAAAUAUUAAAUAAUAAUAUUUAUGAACUUACUCAUCGGAUUUAGUGGCCCCGAAACCACUGUUUUCGACACUAUUGAAAAACGAGCUGUUAUAUAAGCUACUAAGGCAUUGUUUUAAUAUUUUCAGAAUAUCAAUAUUUUCAUAUAAAAACUAGUUUAAAAAUUUAAAACAAUGUACAAAACAAUAGCUAUUACAAUACGAAACAAUGAUUCCAUUCAUAAUUUUAACUCGCCAAAUCAAGAUUCAUGCUCCAAUAAAUGUCUCCACAAGGAGACCUAACUUCAAAAGCACUCAUAAAGUUAUUAUUUUGUCAUCAUCCACACUUUCAUAAUCAUUAAUAUUUAUAAACUAUAAUGUAUUCAAUUCAAUAAUAAUAAAUCAAGUAUAAAUAAUAUUAAUUUUAAAUAAAAAAUUUCAUAAGUUUUCUAUAUAUCUUAGCACACAAAAUACUCAAAAGUUGUUGGAGAAGUUUAGUUCUAACUCAAUCCACUAGUUUUUCCUUUCAUUUGCUAGUGUUAGUUUUUUCUUCUUUAAUUUCUUCAUAAUUGAAAAAAAAUAUCAUAAAUAAUAAAAUAUUAAAUAGUCAUUAAUAUGGCUCAACAACACCCAAACUUAAAAUAAACAUGAUUUUGUGCAUAAAUGAAAUGUAAACUAUAAAACCCAAACCUUAAUCACAUCAUUUCACCUUCUUAAUGCACUUUCUCACUUUAGAGGUCAAACCCUAACCCAUAACUUCUUGGGUGAUGGAGAUGAUGAGGGAUAUGACUCAAAAAGGGUUUAAUAGUAAAGGUUUUACAAGAAAUUGUUAAAAAAAUGAUUAGUAUUUGGAAGAGAAAUGGGUGAAUGUUGAGGAAAAUAUAAGAAAAAUGAAGAAUUAUGGAUAAUGUUCUUCUCUUUUAAGGUGGCUGGCUUGUGCGGAGAAGAGAUGAUAU
rnacentral:lncRNA from 1 species